rnacentral:rRNA from 1 species
GUGUCAGCCGCCGCGGUAAUACGAAGGGGGCUAGCGUUGCUCGGAAUUACUGGGCGUAAAGGGCGCGUAGGCGGCUAGAUUAGUCAGGCGUGAAAUUCCUGGGCUCAACCUGGGGACUGCGCUUGAUACGGUUUGGCUUGAGGGCAGGAGAGGCUCGCGGAAUUCCCAGUGUAGAGGUGAAAUUCGUAGAUAUUGGGAAGAACACCGGUGGCGAAGGCGGCGAGCUGGCCUGUUACUGACGCUGAGGCGCGACAGCGUGGGGAGCAAACAGGAUUAGAUACCCGCGUAGUCC